GCACCCUUAGCUCAACUGGAUAGUGUAUCUGUCUACGAAUCAGGCCGUUAGAGGUUCGACUCCUCUAGGGUGCA
rnacentral:tRNA from 1 species